rnacentral:snRNA from 1 species
AGCUUUGUGCAGUGGCAGUAUCGUAGCCAAUGAGGUUCAUCCAAGGCACGAUUAUUGCUAAUUGAAAAAUUAAGCACAAGUUUAUGCCAGGAUAGGAUUUUAUAAUCUUUCUUUUCUCAUCCAUGAU